UACGGAGGGUGCAAGCGUUAAUCGGAAUUACUGGGCGUAAAGCGCGCGUAGGCGGUUUGUUAAGCUAGAUGUGAAAGCCCAGGGCUCAACCUUGGAAUUGCAUUUAGAACUGGCAGGCUAGAGUACAGUAGAGGAUAGUGGAAUUUCUUGUGUAGCGGUGAAAUGCGUAGAUAUAAGAAGGAACACCAGUGGCGAAGGCGACUGUCUGGACUGAUACUGACGCUGAGGUGCGAAAGCGUGGGGAGCGAACAGG
rnacentral:rRNA from 1 species